rnacentral:lncRNA from 1 species
CCAUGGUUCCUUCCUUCCUGUGACUGUGAGGUAGUCCUGCAUGACCACUUGGUCUCUGAUUGCGAACGUCACAUCAUCAGUUCUUGGGAUCGAGACGGCUGUGGCUGGGUGGCAAGUGCUGGCACUGCUGGGGUGGGGCGGCUGGCUCCCUUCAGUUCCGAGUCCUAGGGGAAGCCCUGGAGUGUACCAGAAGGAUACAGAACGGUGAUUUCUAAAGAGCAAGACUAGAUUUCUAUGUGAGAAAUGCUGGACAACGAUUUAGGACAUUUGUAAAGUGAGGUGGACAGACUGUAUAAAUGUUUAAUAUGAAUAUAGCAUUCUUUUGGAGUAAGAUGCUAUUGAAUGGUUAAAUCGUGCAUUUCUCAUUUUGAUGUUCUUGUAUGUUAAUAUGAAAUAAAAUCAAAACUGGUACCUGUUUAUACAUAAAUAUGAGAAAGGACCUCUCCUUGCAACUAUAAACUUGGGAGAGCAGCAUCCGAGUUGUAGGAGGUGGUGGUGGUGGAACGGGUCCUGCUGUCCUCACGUCACAGAGGACUUAGGCCAGAGUAAGGUGCUGAGGGCAGCAGAUACAGUGUGUGCUCCAUCAAUCACACGAAACACCGGAUCCUUAGCCAGCAGGUCAGUGCGGGCCUUCGUGCUUAAGUGCGUCUACCAAAUGCACACUACAGUACAGAACCUGGGCACGUACGUGGGACUACUCGCUGACUGACCGAAUGGAGAAUAAGUGCAGGGUAGGAAGGAGGAAGACCAGAGGCACAUUCAUGGUGCAUCAUGAUGGAAUAUGUAAAUGGCUUCAGAAUUCUUACAGGAAAAGUGGGGUGGGCAGUCCUUGUUCUCGUCCCUGCCACGUACAUCUUGAUGACCUCUCUGCUUAUAAAUGACACUGCACGGGACAACUUAGGAGACUAGUAGCUUAGUCUCAUCAAAGAAUUUUAUGCAUCAGGAAUAAAGUUUUUACCUUCAUAAAUAAAUAUGCUUCAUAAUAAAGCAUAUUACCUUGGAAUGACGAGAGAAUCAUUGAGGGUGUCAUUUAAAUCGGUUGGGACAGGUUUCUGAGUAGAAGUUAAAUUUUAAAAAUUUAAAGGCAAGAAGGAUUGUACUGGGUGAGCAAAGACUGGAGGAGCUGCCUUGGCCAGGAUUUUGCAAAGAAUGGGAGGCGCGCAGGAGAUGGAAGUUUAAAGGGGUGUCGAAUCUUCCAGCUUCCGGAGAUGGAUGGGGUGGUGUGUGGGAGCAGGUGUGUCAGGGAGAGGCUUCAGAUGAGAGGGUGCAGAUCUUGGGAAGCCCCGAAGGUCAUGCCAGUUACAAUUGAAGUGCACAGGUUUGGGGGUCUCAGCAGUCGGGGCAGGCUAGUGUCAGAGGACUAGUUUGGGUCUGACAAGGAAAAUUAGCACAGGGCUCAGGCUAAGGGGAGGUGAGGAAGGCAGGAGCGGCCAGGGGGGCUGUGCUGCGAUUAGGGGACUGGAACUUUUUGCCCUCAAAGCCUUCGCUGUCAUUUUAAAUACUGUCUGGUUAUGCUUUCUGACACCACGCAGAGAUGUUUUAGAUCUAGUAAAAUUUGUCUAGGUGCUGUUCUCUGAACUUACUCCCCUGUAUCUAUAAAUGGAAGAGGGAAGUGAGUUAUUUCUAGCAUUCCGUGGGGCCCAUUCAUCCUCGUACCGCAUAAUUAUCCUCGGUUAGAUCUUUAAGGUAAUUGCAAAAGCAACUGGGAAAUUACAUCACUGUCUUGGCAGAUGUUUACAAGUCAAUCCUGUUGCUGCGGUGUCUGUGCCCCGGCGUCCAGUCAGGUUUAUGUAAAACCCAGUUCCAACCCUUUAGCUCCAGCUGGGCCCCCAGGAACUGCAGACCGUGACCUCGCAGGAGCGUGUGGCGGGCACAGGGCCCGGCUGGCGGAGGGCGGAGGGCGGAGGGCGAGCCCCGCUAUGCCCUGGGCGCUCUCUGCUCAAGGGAGUCGCGAUGGUUUCAAAGGCUCAAGUUCAAGUGCUUGGUGCACCAACGCUUUGAGCGUGAAUCCCGCUCACUGUGUAAUAAAAACCAAGGCGAGUGGUAGGACUCUGCCUUGGCUGGUGAAGAAGUCGGAGUCUGAAUCCCAUCAGGUCUCACAUGGACACGGAUAACCCAGCACAACGCUCCUCAGAGUAGGGGACGCCCAGGGGCCCGCCACGGGGGGGGGGGGGGGGGGCUGGUUGGACUAGUAAGCAACUAGGUCUAGUUGCCACAGAUUUCGAGAUUUGGUUUGAGGCGGGUGAGUGAUGAAGUUACCUGGUCCCCCUCCCCUCUGUAGCGGGUCAUUUGAAAGGGAGCCACGUGCCCGUGCGUGUGCAAGAAAUUCCGUGCUCCUCACUAUGAACGUGUGAACAGCGAUGACCUCUCCGAGGGGCCACAGUAAGCUCCUAACGGAGGGCUGAGUGGGCAGGGGGGAGAGAAGCCAAUUAUUUCUCUUGGCGUUAAAAACGUUUUACACCCCAACAUCCCCCAAGAAGAAAAACUGUCACUUCAAAAUACCUUUCAGUCUUUAGUAUUGAUACUUUAAAAGUUGUUUCCUACUGAGUACUGUGUAUCUGCGCUUAGCUGGGGUAUGAACGAGUAGGGAAGACAUUUCGCUCACCCUAGAGUGCUCACACAUGCUCACUCACAGCUCACACAUGCUCACUCGCAGCUCACACAUGCUCACUCACAGCUCACACAUGCUCACUCACAGCUCACACAUGCUCACUCGCAGCUCACACAUGCUCACUCACAGCUCACACAUGCUCACUCACAGCUCUCAUUUCUGAAGAUCGCGGUGUUGCCUCGGGACUUGCUGAGGGAAAUGCCCAAGCUAGGGAAGUUCUACAAAUGCACGGAAGCCUGCGCGCACGACGUCCCCGAGGGCUGUUGCUUUAUGGAGCCUUGGGAACAGCAUGUUCGCGAUACCCAGCGUGUACCUUUUCCAUAGGUCAGUGGGAAAAGCACAGAAAUGCCUAGAGGAGAUUUUAACAAACCCAAAGCCCCAGCGUGUUCCUGGAGUGCACUCCUGUGUCUCAGGGUAUCGAGUCCUCAACAUUCCCAAUACUGACUGUGCAGAGGACAGAUGACGUUCCUAAGAAUGACGAACUUGAAGGGAAACAAAGACCUGGCAUCUGUCAGAUUAUACAGGCUCUCGGAAAUCUACGCUCUCAAGCCCAGUUCAUCCCCUGUAAACUUCGCUGCGCACAGGCCGUGGGGUGACGGCAAGCUUCUACCAGCUUCCACGUCAACGGGUCCAACAGGUCACUGCAGUUUCCGGGCCGGUUGGACGCUGCUCCUCAAUACAGGUGCGCAGACCGGCUUGGCAGAACAGGUUCUCAGACGAAGGGAGCCACCGGAUACUUUCUAAUUUCUAAUCAGCAAAA